GGGUCCGUAGCUCAACUGGUAGAGCAGCGCCCUCUUAAGGCGUCGGUUGGGAGUUCGAGUCUCCCCGGACUCACCA
rnacentral:tRNA from 1 species